CUUACAUCUCUUCGGAGCAUUUUACGAGGUGCUGCAUGGUUGUCGUCAGCUCGUGCCGUGAGGUGUCGGGUUAAGUCCCAUAACGAGCGCAACCCCUACCUUUAGUUGCCAUCAGGUUAAGCUGGGGACUCUAAAGGAACUGCCUACGCAAGUAGUGAGGAAGGCGGGGAUGACGUCAAAUCAGCACGGCCCUUACGUCCAGGGCUACACACGUGCUACAAUGGCCGAUACAGAGGGCAGCUACCUGGUGACAGGAUGCAAAUCUCCAAAGUCGGUCUCAGUUCGGAUCGGAGUCUGCAACCCGACUCCGUGAAGUUGGAUUCGCUAGUAAUCGCGCAUCAGCCAUGGCGCGGUGAAUACGUUCCCGGGCCUU
rnacentral:rRNA from 1 species